rnacentral:pre_miRNA from 1 species
UGAAUACUCCCUCCGUCUUAAAAUUCUUGUCUUACAUUUGUGUAGAUAUGAAUGUAUCUAGUCACAUUUUAGUAUUUAGAUACAUCCAUUUAUAGACAAAUCUAAGACAAGAAAUUUGGGAUGGAGGGAGUAAUUU